rnacentral:tRNA from 1 species
UAGGAUGGGGUGUGUUAGGUAGCACGGAGAAAUUUGGAUUCUCAAGGGGUAGGUUCAAUGCCUGCAAUCUUAG